rnacentral:rRNA from 1 species
GCUUAUGGCCAUACCACCCUGUCUGCGUCUGAUCUCGUUUGAUUUUGGAAGCUAAGCAGGGUCGGCCCUGGUUAGUACUUGGAUGGGAGAAAUACCAGGUGCUGUAAGCU